CCUACGGGAGACAGCAGUGAGGAAUAUUGGUCAAUGGGCGGAAGCCUGAACCAGCCAAGUAGCGUGCAGGAUGACGGCCCUACGGGUUGUAAACUGCUUUUAUACGGGAAUAACGCGCCUUACGUGUAGGGCUUUGCAUGUACCGUAUGAAUAAGGACCGGCUAAUCCCGUGCCAGCAGCCGCGGUAAUACGGAAGGUCCGGGCGUUAUCCGGAUUUAUUGGGUUUAAAGGGGGCGUAGGUGGCAGGUAAAGCAGCGUGGGAAAUGUCCGGGUUAAACGCGGGCCUUGCAGCGGAAACUGGCGUGCUGGAGUCCGCGGAAGGCAGGCGGAAUUCGUCGUGUAGCGGUGAAAUGCUUAGAUAUGACGAAGAACCCCGAUUGCGAAGGCAGCUUGCUGCAGCGGAACUGACGCUGAUGCUCGAAAGCGCGGGUAUCGAACAGGAUUAGAUACCCUAGUAGUC
rnacentral:rRNA from 1 species